GAUCCUACGGGGGGCCGCAGUAGGGCCUCUUCCCCCCUUGUCGAAAGCCUGAUGGAGCAACGCCGCGUGGGUGAAGAAGGUCUUCGGAUCGUAAAACCCUGUUGUUAGAGAAGAAAGUGCGUGAGAGUAACUGUUCACGUUUCGACGGUAUCUAACCAGAAAGCCACGGCUAACUACGUGCCAGCAGCCGCGGUAAUACGUAGGUGGCAAGCGUUAUCCGGAUUUAUUGGGCGUAAAGGGAACGCAGGCGGUCUUUUAAGUCUGAUGUGAAAGCCUUCGGCUUAACCGGAGUAGUGCAUUGGAAA
rnacentral:rRNA from 1 species